UACGGGGGGAGCAAACGUUGUUCGGAAUUACUGGGCGUAAAGCGCGCGUAGGCGGACCUGCAAGUCGGGGGUGAAAGCCCGAGGCUCAACCUCGGAACUGCCUUCGAUACUGCGGGUCUCGAGUCCGGGAGAGGUGAGUGGAAUUCCUAGUGUAGAGGUGAAAUUCGUAGAUAUUAGGAAGAACACCAGUGGCGAAGGCGGCUCACUGGCCCGGUACUGACGCUGAGGCGCGAAAGCGUGGGGAGCAAACAGG
rnacentral:rRNA from 1 species